rnacentral:rRNA from 1 species
GACAGAGGAUGCAAGCGUUAUCCGGAUUCACUGGGUUUAAAGGGUGCGUAGGUGGGCUGGUAAGUCAGUGGUGAAAUCUCCAGGCUUAACUUGGAAACUGCCAUUGAUACUAUCAGUCUUGAAUACCGUGGAGGUCAGCGGAAUAUGUCAUGUAGCGGUGAAAAUGCUUAGAUAUGACAUAGAACACCAAUUGCGAAGGCAGCUGGCUACACGAAUAUUGACACUGAUGCACGAAAAGCGUGGGGAUCAAACAGG